ACCCCAAACCGACACAGGUGGUCAGGUAGAGAAUACCAAGGCGCUUGAGAGAACUCGGGUGAAGGAACUAGGCAAAAUGGUGCCGUAACUUCGGGAGAAGGCACGCUGAUAUGUAGGUGAAGUCCCUGCGGACGGAGCUGAAAUCAGUCGAAGAUACCAGCUGGCUGCAACUGUUUAUUAAAAACACAGCACUGUGCAAACACGAAAGUGGACGUAUACGGUGUGACGCCUGCCCGGU
rnacentral:rRNA from 1 species